ACGGAAGGCAGCAGUGGGGAAUAUUGCACAAUGGGGGAAACCCUGAUGCAGCGACGCCGCGUGAGUGAUGAAGUAUUUCGGUAUGUAAAGCUCUAUCAGCAGGGAAGAUAAUGACGGUACCUGACUAAGAAGCACCGGCUAAAUACGUGCCAGCAGCCGCGGUAAUACGUAUGGUGCAAGCGUUAUCCGGAUUUACUGGGUGUAAAGGGUGCGUAGGUGGUAUGGCAAGUCAGAAGUGAAAACACGGGGCUCAACCCCGUGACUGCUUUUGAAACUGUCAAACUAGAGUGCAGGAGAGGAAAGCGGAAUUCCUAGUGUAGCGGUGAAAUGCGUAGAUAUUAGGAGGAACACCAGUGGCGAAGGCGGCUUUCUGGACUGUAACUGACACUGAGGCACGAAAGCGUGGGGAGCAAACAGGAUUAGAUACCCUGGUA
rnacentral:rRNA from 1 species